rnacentral:rRNA from 1 species
AUUGAACGCUGGCGGCAUGCUUUACACAUGCAAGUCGAACGGUAACAGGCCUUCGGGUGCUGACGAGUGGCGAACGGGUGCGUAAUGCAUCGGAACGUGCCCAGAGGUGGGGGAUAACGCAGCGAAAGCUGUGCUAAUACCGCAUGUGAUCUGAGGAUGAAAGCGGGGGACCAAGCAGCAAUGUUUGGCCUCGCGCCUCUGGAGCGGCCGAUGUCAGAUUAGGUAGUUGGUGGGGUAAAGGCCUACCAAGCCGACGAUCUGUAGCUGGUCUGAGAGGACGACCAGCCACACUGGGACUGAGACACGGCCCAGACCCCUACGGGAGGCAGCAGUGGGGAAUUUUGGACAAUGGGCGCAAGCCUGAUCCAGCAAUGCCGCGUGCGGGAAGAAGGCCUUCGGGUUGUAAACCGCUUUUGUACGGAACGAAAAGGCUCUGGCUAAUACCUGGGGCUGAUGACGGUACCGUAAGAAUAAGCACCGGCUAACUACGUG